GCAUCCCGUAGCUCUCAGCUGGAUAGAGAGUACUCGGCUACGAACCGAGCGGUCGGAGGUUCGAAUCCUCCCGGAUGCACCA
rnacentral:tRNA from 1 species